rnacentral:rRNA from 1 species
GACGAACGCUGGCGGCGUGCUUAACACAUGCAAGUCGAACGGAAAGGCCCCUUUGGGGGUACUCGAGUGGCGCACGGGUGAGUAACACGUGAGUAACCUGCCCUUGACUUCGGGAUAACUUCAGGAAACUGGGGCUAAUACCGGAUAGGAAUCCUUGCUGCAUGGUGGGGGUUGGAAAGCUUCGGCGGUUUUGGAUGGACUCGCGGCUUAUCAGCUUGUUGGUGGGGUAGUGGCUUACCAAGGCUUUGACGGGUAGCCGGCCUGAGAGGGCGACCGGCCACAUUGGGACUGAGAUACGGCCCAGACUCCUACGGGAGGCAGCAGUGGGGAAUAUUGCACAAUGGGCGGAAGCCUGAUGCAGCAACGCCGCGUGCGGGAGGACGGCCUUCGGGUUGGAAACCGCUUUCAGCAGGGGCGAAGCUUGUGGUGACGGUACCUGCAGAAGAAGCACCGGCUAACUACGUG